rnacentral:rRNA from 1 species
CUACGGGGUGCUCCAGUGAGGAAUCUUCCGCAAUGGGGGCAACCCUGACGGAGCGACACCGCGUGCGGGAUGAAGGGCUUUUGCCUGUAAACCGCUUUUCUGAAGGAGCAAGUUCUGAGUUAACUUCAGGAAUAAGUGCCUGCUAACUACGUGCCAGCAGCCGCGGUAAUACGUAGGGCGCAAGCGUUAACCGAAAUCAUUGGGCGUAAAGCGUUCGUAGGCGUUUCGGAAAGUCUGAUGUAAAAUUUUGAAGCUCAACUUCAAAAGCGUAUCGGAAACUUCCGAAAUAGAGGAAUUCAGAGGCUAGUGGAAUGCUGUAUGUAGGGGUUAAAUCCGUAGAUAUACAGUGGAACACCAAAUGCGAAGGCAGCUAGCUGGGAAUUUCCUAACGCUGAGGGACGAAAGCGUGGGUAGCGAACGGGAUUAGAUACCGGGUAGUC